GGGAACAAGACAUGGGUCUGAGAAAAAUCUAAAGCCAAAAAGUUGAGAAUACAUCAAGUCAAAAACAUCACAUGGAGAAUAACCACUAGCAAAAUAUCACUCAGAAGUCAGAACAUCAAAAACAUUAUACAACGAAAGCUUGGUUAUUAGUUAUUAACUAACACCUAACAGCAAUGCAAUUUCAAUAGCAUAACAUAUUCAUCAGGUAAGAAAAUAAAUCAAUAUUCAACUCAACUCAACUCAACUA
rnacentral:misc_RNA from 1 species